GAAUAUUGGACAAUGGGGGAAACCCUGAUCCAGCCAUGCCGCGUGUGUGAAGAAGGUCUUCGGAUUGUAAAGCACUUUAAGUUGGGAGGAAGGGCGUCAAGCUAAUACCUUGAUGUUUUGACGUUACCAACAGAAUAAGCACCGGCUAACUCUGUUCCAGCCGCCGCGGUAAUACAGAGGGUGCAAGCGUUAAUCGGAAUUACUGGGCGUAAAGCGCGCGUAGGUGGUUCAGUAAGAUGGGUGUGAAAUCCCCGGGCUCAACCUGGGAACUGCUUUCAUAACUGCUGAGCUAGAGUACGGUAGAGGGUAGUGGAAUUUCCUGUGUAGCGGUGAAAUGCGUAGAUAUAGGAAGGAACACCAGUGGCGAAGGCGACUACCUGGACUGAUACUGACACUGAGGUGCGAAAGCGUGGGGAGCAAACAGG
rnacentral:rRNA from 1 species